AACCAUAGAAACCUGCGGAGUACCUGCGGAGGGAUCAUUAACGUGCCCGCGAGGCCGGUGGUCGUCCCGCGGCCGCCGGUUCUUGCAUCCGGCCCAUCCUUGUCUAUCUUACCUGUUGCUUCGGCGGGCCUGCGGGCGGUGUCUGACGCCGUCCGCUGCCGGGAGGGUUCUUCCCUCCGGGCUCGCGUCCGCCGAAGGUCACCUGAAACCCUGUUGUAAAUCUGGCAGUCUCAGCGAACG
rnacentral:misc_RNA from 1 species